rnacentral:rRNA from 1 species
UACGUAGGGACCAAGCGUUGUUCGGAUUUACUGGGCGUAAAGGGCGCGUAGGCGGCGUGGUAAGUCACUUGUGAAAUCUCUGAGCUUAACUCAGAACGGCCAAGUGAUACUGCUGUGCUAGAGUGCAGAAGGGGCAAUCGGAAUUCUUGGUGUAGCGGUGAAAUGCGUAGAUAUCAAGAGGAACACCUGAGGUGAAGACGGGGUUGCUGGGCUGACACUGACGCUGAGGCGCGAAAGCCAGGGGAGCAAAACGGG